rnacentral:lncRNA from 1 species
GCUCAUUUCUUUCUUCUUUUCUCUAUACAUUGGUGUUCUAACCAAUAAUCACUCAAUCGCUAUUACGAUUCAUUUUCCGACCGAUCAAUAUAUCCAAUGGAUGUUUAAGUGCCGCCCAUAUUAGGGUUAUACUUUGUCGUUCGUCGUUAAUUCGAUGAAUGUUUAAGUAUCGCACUUUGUCGUUCGUUGUGAGAAUUUGAUCUCGUGAGUUAUCGUAAAAGCUGUAUUGAUCAUUAACCGGGUUUUUGUAAAAUUCGUUAAGGUUCGAAUCUCAUGACUACCGUUAAGGUUUGAUUUGGGUUUUACACCAAUAUGUAUUCCAUUCUGUUAAACUAUAUAUUUAACUACCAAGAAUACUCCCAACUACACCCUUACAAUCAAACCAACUAUUAAAUCAUCAGAAAAUCCAGAAUAAUAAAGUGCAUGCUUAAUUAUCGGAAGAAGUAGAAUCAAGAAGUUUGUUAACUCAAUCCUGCAUGCUGAGUUGUAAUUACAGUAGAUUGGAGUAAGGAUUGGAUCCGGCACUAAAAGACUUCAAGAAGUGGCUUAUUUUAUUAAUUAAAUCAAAUUAAGAAAUGUUGUUUUUAUUAAAAGCUACCUUUGUAAAACAUGGAAUUUAUUCCAUCUAUUUAAAUAAAAUCCGGUGU